CCUAUCACUGACUGUCUCCGAGAAAAGAGGGCAAAGUGUGAGGCGUCGUGGAAAGUUGUAAACCCUAAUCCUCUCCUUGGAUCUACACUCAUACCUGUUACAGUUUGACGUUCUUCUCCGAACUUAAUCCACUCCCAAAAUUUCUUAGAGCAGAUGUUUGCAUCUCAAUCUCUCAUCGUCUCCCUGCAAAACAAGUUUAGCAAUCAUACGCUCGAUUGGUUGCCUGUGUUUAUUCGAUCUAAUCGCGCCUUGUCAGAACACCUUUCAUUUGUGUUUUUACGCUUAUUGAAGUGGAGAAGGUUGAACAAUUCCUGAUUUCUGCCCUAUCUAGCAUUUUUCAGAUCGCAUUUUGUCAGUUCCCUUCAAGUUCAAGUGAUUGAAGGCUUGCUCUCAUCCCUGAGCAAGGCAUGUUAUUCUCGGGGGAUUCAUCUGCUCGGAAAUGAGUGGAUUUAGGUGGACGUAGCUCCAAGGAGAGUGACCAGCAGGUAUUAUUGGAGCCGGCGAGACUUGAUAGGAAACGAUGUUUAGAGCUUCGGCAGCAAACUUCGGUGGCCAUCAAUAUACAGAUAAAGGUAAAGGAAAAGUGGACCAGUAGCGGAGGCUGGGGGUCAU